GUGUCAGCAGCCGCGGUAAGACGAACCGUGCGAACGUUAUUCGGAAUCACUGGGCUUAAAGCGCGUGUAGGCGGGCAGGCACGUCGGUCGCUGAAAGCCCCCGGCUCAACCGGGGAAGGGGCGCCGAUACGACCGGCCUGGAGGGGCGUAGGGGGGACUGGAACUUCCGGUGGAGCGGUGAAAUGCGUUGAGAUCGGAAGGAACGCCCGUGGCGAAAGCGAGUCCCUGGACGCCAUCUGACGCUGAGACGCGAAAGCCAGGGGAGCGAACGGGAUUAGAUACCCCGGUAGUCC
rnacentral:rRNA from 1 species